UCUUCAAAAGUGGUUCCAUGAACGUCAAACUGAGGCAGCCAAAAUGAAUUCACAUUUGAUAGAGUGGGCAAACAAUUUGGUUCGAGAAAAUAACAAGAAGGGGUUGUCAUUGCAAGUAUUUCAAAUUCAUUACAUUUUAUUUUGUUGCAAGUAAGGAAUGUAUACAGACAUUUAACCAAGUGGGCAGACAUUUUCUGGACUAAUACAAGAGGGUGAGCCAAUUCCCCAAAAAAAAAAAAAAAAAAAAAAAAAGAAGAAGGGAUGGGCCAAUGCGAAUUGAAAGUGAGGACACGCGGCCAAGUCCAGGGUCGAGGCAAUUAAGCAAACCAGUCCAGUCCACUAACUCUAUAAAUUCUAAAUUAUAAUACAAAAGGAAACGACAUCGUUUGAAGAAGAAAACCGUCUUAUCUUAAAAGGCGCCUGAUCUCGCAAAUGAUAAAACCUUAACCCUCGGGCCCUCAGAGUCCCAAACGCGAGUGAGAGCAGAUCUGAGAAAAUGAGAGAUGUGAAACACAGAGAAGGUCUGGAAACCCUAACAAUGGCAUUGUCUCUGUGAUCGGAGCCUUCGCUGUAGAUCAGAGACAUGAGCGUGAAGAAAGAGAGAGACGACGGGGCAUGAAGAAAAGCUCCUCCAAUGCGAUUCUUGUUUUGCGAGGUUUAACGCCUCGAUGACCGCCAUUGAUCCACGAUCGGAUCCGUUCAAGAGCUCACCGUUGAAAUCACGUAGUAAUUAACACCAAGACCAGAGAUCUGAUGGGGCUAGGUACACUCCCUGUCUGCUUGCUCAAGAUGCGAUAGGGUGCUAUGUGGACUGAUAGAGGCACUGACAGCGGGCCUUCCAUAUCUUUAAGGUUUUACUCCUUACUCAUUCAAGCAUGUGGAUGUAUGUUUUUCUUUUGUAAAAUUUCAUUUUUUGUUUUUAAAUGGAAAGAAAAUGAACAAAAAUAAGUUUCCAGAGGCAAAUAGCAUAGUAUUGUUGAAAACUUGAACGAUAUAUCUGACAAAAACAAAAUUGACACACACGGUAUCUUACAUAUGGAAUCAGGAACAUUGUGACAUUACAUCAGUGAUACACGGUGGCGUGGUGAAUUUAAAAGUAAUCAUUUGUAGCAAUAUCGGAUGGUCUAAUAACCAUGCAUAACUAGACUGUUCGGCAACUUUAUGUUCUGACAAAAAGAGAACAUCGGAUGAUGGGGUUUCUCUAACUUUCAAUGUAACAUGAGUUGGAAGACAUUAGAACGUGAAAAAUCAUAAAUGGGUUAGUGCAUUAUUCAAAUAUUGUCGCACACAAUGUUCUAGGCAAUGUCAGUAAUCUGAGCUUCUGAACUUUUCAAGUUAGGAUGAGAAUGCAAGGAGUCUCAGAAGUUCUCAGUAUUUUCUUUUGCAUCUAUGCACCCAAGCAAUGUUUAUAGGUUAUUACCAUGGAAAUAAAAUUUGAAGCAGUAAAUUUCGUAGAACUAAAAUUUAUCUGCCCACAUUGUCAAAUAUAUACGGAGGAUAGAUUGGCAGUUAUAAAUUUAGAAGUCUAUUCACUCUCUCUCUCUCUCUCUCUGGUGUUCUGUUAUAUUUCCUAGUUGUAGUUGGUACAUAUCAAUCUUAAUUUGAUAUAAUUUCUCAUUGUAGUUGUUUAUCAUUCAUAUUUUGUUAUCUAUUGACAAUACCUUUGGAUUGUGUACAAGCUGGAAGAUAUAAUAAAACAUAUAUAAUUUCUGUUUUAAUUGUUUUCCGUGUAUUGGCAGGUAUUCUUUUUGGUAGUAAAAUGGUGUUUAAAAUGAAGUUAUGAAUGUACAAAUGUAGUAAUAAAGUAUUUUAAAAUGUUUCUUCAGGAUGUUGUGUUCUGGUUUGCGAUCUUUAACAUUCAGUGGUUUUCCCACACCAAACGUUCUUCCUAUGAGUUGCAGCAUCUUGCAUUUUAAAUAAAAGAACCUGUUGUUCUA